GAAACUUUAGGAAGACGUGCAACAUCAACCACAUCCUGGCUGUCUACUGUCUGUAGUGUAGCAAGAAACUCCAAGAGAUACAACUGGAGGCAUGACAACGUUCUGCGUGUCAUAGCUGGAGCCUUGCUAGACCAACUCAAGACUUACAAUUCCGCAUUUUCCACGCCCUCCGACAAAUAAUCGUUACGAUUCAAGUUGAAGAAUGGGAGCUAUGAUGAGCUGAAGUUGAGGAAGGAGAUGCCGUUUGAGAGGGCGAAUGACUGGAUGCUGAUCUGGGACGAGGACACGAUACAACACAUCUACAACACAUCCGAGAGACCUGAAAUUGUAGAGAGAAGUGGUUCUGAUAGAACUGACUUGUGGUGACCAAGUCGUGCGUAAAUAAGUAAGGUACAACAGCUAGAGCUGGCAUCGACGGGUGAGUUUGGAAAGCUCAGCUCUUUACGGUAGAGAUUGGGUUACCAGCUCUACUCAACUGCUUUGGACUGACGAAGAGAACGAAGAAGAAAGCACUGAAUGAGGCUGCUUUGGUCGCUCUUCAAUGUUCUUAUGCCAUUUAGUUAGCCCGUGACAGCAAGAAAUGGUCUACCUUCUACGAAAUCGCAAGGUAGAAGCCAUAAACUGCGAAAGCUGGACCCAUAAAACAUGCGAAAGCUGCAACGAGGAUCGCAAGUACUGGUGGAAUACACGUACAGUAAUGGCUUGCUGACUAGAUGUAUAGAUGGAGUUGCUAUCGAACGAUACAGAACUCAGGAGGGGAUCUACAAUUUGCAAAGACGAUUUAUUUUCGGCCAGAAAUUUACGGAGUUCAUUCGUCUUCAGUCUUGGUGCAGUUGUUUCUCUCACUAUCAGUGACGGUUCGAGGAGACACUGCAUCGCAAUGCUCGGUGAAGAUACGGGGAUAUGAGGCUGUUAUCUCUCUCUCAAAGUCCACUGCACGUCGUCACAGAGCCUCAAUCCGAUCAGAGCAAGCAGCAAAGAUCAAAAGAGACUUAACGUCCAAUGUCAGACAGAAAAAUUUCGACGGAAAA